AAUUGUGUUAGAAAAUCAGAAGAGAAUUUGAACCCAAGCUUUCCUCAGGAUGACAUUGAAGAUGAUUCAUGUGCAGCGCAUGAGCUGUCUACAAGUGAUUUGUGUUUAGUGUCUGAUCUUUAGUCUAAAGGGAAAGAAACAUAUGCUAGUGAUAGGAUUGGUAAUUUUCCGAGUCUAGGAGAACUAGCAAAUAUUGAUGAAAGUUUUCUGGCAAAGCGCUGCAAUCUUGGCUACAGAGCAGGUCGUAUAAUAAAACUUGUCCUGGCUAUUGUUGAAGGCAGGAUUCAGUUAGAACAACUUGAAGAAAUUUGCAGUAGUGAAGCAAGUUUAGCCAGCUAUGAUAAGCUGACUAAACAGUUGAGCAAGAUUGAUGGAUUUGGUCCAUUUACAUGUGCCAAUGUGCUUGUAUGCAUGGGAAUUUACCAUGUGAUUCCAUCAGAUUCCUAAACAAUCAGGCAUUUAAAGCAGGUCCAUAAAAGAAAUUGUACCAUUAAAACAGUUCAAAAUGACGUUAAAAUGAACUAUGGAAAGUAUGCACCAUUUCAGUUCUUGGCAUACUGGUCAGAAGUAUGGCACUUCUACGAGGGAAGGUUUGGGAAGCUAAGUGAAAUGCCUUACUCCAGUUACAAACUUAUAACAGCCAGUAAUAUGAGAACCUAAAAAACCAGAAAGUUAAGAGGGCUUCUAUAUAUCUUUUGAUGUGGAAACCAUUCAGGCUUCAGCUAUGGACUCCGGACUCUGCAGGCUGCAGGAUGUGCUCAAUUUCUUUGACUACCUCGCACAUAGAGCUGUUGGUUCCCAGUUCCUGUACACACAUCAUUGCCAGUGUCCAAACUGAUGGCAGGGAUCAAGA